UGAGCAGCACCUGCCAGAAGCCCUUCAAAAGGUCAAACCUACUCAUCUACUUAGCUGGACCAACAUGACCAAUGCAAUCAUCCACUCUCAGGAGAGGGUAGGAAUCAGUUCGUGAGAGUGCAUUGACAGUUUUCAUGUCAGUGCAGCAGUGCCAAUCACCAGUCUUCACCGCGAGAACACAAGAAUUUCACUUUUCACAGGAUUCAUUCGAUACGGAUGUUGUUGCACAGGCACAGCAUCACCCACAACUAUAUCAUGACUAACCAUAUCUGCGCGGCCAGGCACAUCAGGAAAUAGGCAACACCUCUAUCAUAAUGAAGCAUAUCUUUGUCACGUCACCAGUCUGCUUCCCAGCGCACUCAGCCUGCCGACCAAGCGUCCCCUCUCCAAGUGGGCUCUGUCAUUUUGUCCUCUCCUUCCUUGUAACCUGCGCCGCUACUCCCGUGUUAUAUUAUCCUCCACCCCAGACCCUUUCACCACCAUAUGUUUUAUUAAACUAAUUUUUUUCUAGUUUGAGGAGGAC